AGUGUCCCCCUCUACGAGGUCUCCGUUGCUAAGGUCACGUGUAUAGGAAGUUUGUACACAUGAGUGUAAAUGGUGACAGAGACCAGAAGAGGGCAUUGGACCCCGGGAGCUAGAGCUGGUCAUUGAGAGCUGCCUAGCAUCAGUUCUGGGACUCAAACUCAGGUCCUCUGCAAGAGCACUUCAUUCUCUUAAGUGGUGAGCCACGUCUUUAGCUUCUGUUACACUGUGUAUCUCAACAGCAUCCUUGUGAACCAGGCCUUUACAGAAGAACAGAUUGUUACUGGUUAUUGUUGAGAAAUUACCAGACCACCAGGGGAGACAGUCCUGCUCUCCUCGGUGCUGGGUCACGUGAAUUGCUUUGCCCACAGAGAUGUUAACAGACGUGUCAAAAGGCUUAACUGAUAAUGUAAGUAGGACUGAGCCUGCUCUCUGACUCUUCCUCCAUCAUCAUGACAAGAGCUAGGCUUCUGCCACAAAGAGGAUGAGAAGUGGGUGAAGCAAGGCUUCCUGACCAGCCCACAAAGUCACAUGAUUGGGCCCAACCCAGAUGAGAAGAGCCAAUCAGCUCAGAGGACUCUAUUCCAAAUGGGAUCUGAGAGAAUACAAAGAGAUGUUUGUCUCAACGGGUGCGUUUGGGGAUGUUUUGGUGUGAGUUUUAAUGUUUAAAUUAACAAGCAUCAGUCUAUUUUAUGGACAUGGAUACAGACCCAAAGUCACAAAGUUAUAAAGCAUGGGGACUAGGCUGAACAUCCAAAGCUGCCUGCGAUUCAAACUUAAUUCUCUUAAUUAUUAUGAAAGUCUGUCAGUUGUUGAAUCUAUUGCUAAUUGUUAAGUCAUCCCCCCUGCAGUCUCAGCCUUUUCCUUUAUAAUGGAAAACAGGGCUCUAGAGUUAGCUCAGUUAGGAAAAUGUUUCUUACACAAGCUUGAAGACCUGACUAAGCCCUCAAAACCUACAGAAAAAGUAAGGUGUGAGCAUACAUGCCUGUAAUUCCAGCACUGGGGAAGGGGAGACAGAAGGGUCCCCAAGCUAAAUGGCUUAAUCAGGGAUGCCCAGAUCCCAGAGAGAAACCAAAACCCAUAGAUACACAGAUAGACACGUGUGCCCACGCACAAACUCACACUUGUGCACUAGUAUGCACACAGGAAAAAGAGACAAACAAGAGUGUCCUGGCACCCCAAAUCACAACAGUCAGCAAAUAUCUUUGUGUCAAAAAGAAAUUAAACAUAAAAAUAUAAAGC
rnacentral:lncRNA from 1 species